rnacentral:rRNA from 1 species
CACGUAGGGCGCAAGCGUUGUCCGGAAUUAUUGGGCGUAAAGCGUGCGCAGGCGGUUCUCCAAGUCCGUUGUGAAAGCCCCGGGCUCAACCUGGGAAUGGCAGUGGAAACUAGGGGACUUGAAUCUGGCAGAGGGGGGUGGAAUUCCACGUGUAGCAGUGAAAUGCGUAGAGAUGUGGAGGAACACCGAUGGCGAAGGCAGCCCCCUGGGCUGAGAUUGACGCUCAGGCACGAAAGCGUGGGGAGCAAACAG